rnacentral:rRNA from 1 species
CGCGCGAUUGGAGCGGCCGAUGGCAGAUUAGGUAGUUGGUGGGGUAAAGGCUCACCAAGCCGACGAUCUGUAGCUGGUCUGAGAGGACGACCAGCCACACUGGGACUGAGACACGGCCCAGACUCCUACGGGAGGCAGCAGUGGGGAAUUUUGGACAAUGGGCGCAAGCCUGAUCCAGCCAUUCCGCGUGCAGGAUGAAGGCCCUCGGGUUGUAAACUGCUUUUGUACGGAACGAAAAGGCUCUGGUUAAUACCUGGGGCUCAUGACGGUACCGUAAGAAUAAGCACCGGCUAACUACGUGCCAGCAGCCGCGGUAAUACGUAGGGUGCAAGCGUUAAUCGGAAUUACUGGGCGUAAAGCGUGCGCAGGCGGUGAUGUAAGACAGAGGUGAAAUCCCCGGGCUCAACCUGGGAACUGCCUUUGUGACUGCAUCGCUGGAGUACGGCAGAGGGGGAUGGAAUUCCGCGUGUAGCAGUGAAAUGCGUAGAUAUGCGGAGGAACACCGAUGGCGAAGGCAAUCCCCUGGGCCUGUACUGACGCUCAUGCACGAAAGCGUGGGGAGCAAACAGGAUUAGAU